CGCGGGGUAGAGCAGCUUGGUAGCUCGUCGGGCUCAUAACCCGAAGGUCGUUGGUUCAAAUCCAGCCCCCGCAA
rnacentral:tRNA from 2 species